GCAGGAAGUAGUUUAAGAUAGAAUG
rnacentral:tRNA from 1 species